rnacentral:rRNA from 1 species
GAUGAACGCUAGCUACAGGCUUAACACAUGCAAGUCGAGGGGCAUCGGGAAGAAAGCUUGCUUUCUUUGCCGGCGACCGGCGCACGGGUGAGUAACACGUAUCCAACCUGCCCUUUACUCGGGGAUAGCCUUUCGAAAGAAAGAUUAAUACCCGAUAGCAUAAUGAUUCCGCAUGGUUUCAUUAUUAAAGGAUUCCGGUAAAGGAUGGGGAUGCGUUCCAUUAGGUUGUUGGUGAGGUAACGGCUCACCAAGCCUUCGAUGGAUAGGGGUUCUGAGAGGAAGGUCCCCCACAUUGGAACUGAGACACGGUCCAAACUCCUACGGGAGGCAGCAGUGAGGAAUAUUGGUCAAUGGGCGCUAGCCUGAACCAGCCAAGUAGCGUGAAGGAUGAAGGCUCUAUGGGUCGUAAACUUCUUUUAUAUAAGAAUAAAGUGCAGUAUGUAUACUGUUUUGUAUGUAUUAUAUGAAUAAGGAUCGGCUAACUCCGUGCCAGCAGCCGCGGUAAUACGGAGGAUCCGAGCGUUAUCCGGAUUUAUUGGGUUUAAAGGGAGCGUAGGUGGACUGGUAAGUCAGUUGUGAAAGUUUGCGGCUCAACCGUAAAAUUGCAGUUGAUACUGUCAGUCUUGAGUACAGUAGAGGUGGGCGGAAUUCGUGGUGUAGCGGUGAAAUGCUUAGAUAUCACGAAGAACUCCGAUUGCGAAGGCAGCUCACUGGACUGCAACUGACACUGAUGCUCGAAAGUGUGGGUAUCAAACAGG